CCCUUAGAUGUUCGGGGCCGCACGCGCGCUACACUGAAGGAAUCAGUACGUCUUUCUCCUUGUCCGAAAGGACUGGGUAACCCGCUGAACCUCCUUCGUGCUAGGGAUUGGGGCUUGUAAUUCUUCCCCAUGAACGAGGAAUUCCCAGUAAGCGCGAGUCAUAAGCUCGCGUUGAUUACGUCCCUGCCCUUUGUACACACCGCCCGUCGCUACUACCGAUUGGAUGGUUUAGUGAGAUCCUCGGAUUGGUCCCGGCGCGGCCUCUGGUCGUGCCGGAGUGCCGAAAAGAAUGUCGAACUUGAUCAUCUAGAGGAAGUAAAAGUCGUAACA
rnacentral:rRNA from 1 species